rnacentral:lncRNA from 1 species
CUUUGUUCUUGGGUACGUGGAGACAUCCUUUCCAGUCCCCUUGGGUUAGGGUCACAUGACAGCUGACCAAUGGAAUGUGAUCAGAAGUGAUGUGUCACUUCCUUUCUGAGGGAGCAAAAAGCCUCUGCAAGAUUUUCCAGGCUUCAUCUUCCCCUUUGUGGAGGAGGCCUGGCUUUGAGAGGGUGGAGUCCCAAGACGGAAGCCGCCUGGAUCCCUGAGUCACCGUGCGUCAUCCGUGGAGGACGGCAGCCCCGGAGACUCGCCUGGACCCGGAGCAGGCUUUGCCUGAGCAAGAAAUAAACUUCUGUGGUGUCCAGCCAGUAGAUCUUCUCGUCAUUGCCGUUUGCUCAUUCACAGCAGCAUAACCUAUCCUGACUGGUACAACCUAUCCAUGGAUGUUUCCAGAAAAUAACCAGUUUGGGGAAUCCAGGGUACCACCUCUCGCAUCUUUCAUCCCACCCACCGCCCUUCCAGGCCUCUCCUGAUCUCUUCCAAUGGGCUGUUGCUGCAGUGGCUGGGAGCAACCACAGACACACUGCCAACUGGAUGGGCACCAUCCCCUCGUAGGACCUCUGGGGCGGGAGCCAUGGUGCCAGUUUUUUAAGAAGGAAAGAAAAUGUCCUUGUGAAUGGUUCUGAUCUGCCAGUUCCUGAUGAACGUGUCCUCGUUUGGGCAGAGCUGGGGACCCUGCACAUGUUUGCAUUCUCGUAUUCCUGUCUGCAUCAGUUACUAGUGGUGGACAGCCUUUGUAGGGGUCCCAAAGAUUCACGCCUCUUGCCCCCCAGUACAUAGUUCUAGGUCCUUCUGGCCCUGCUAUGCGAGAUGCCACCAUAACAUGGCUUGAUGAGUGGUGCUAGGUCCACGCCCAGGAUCCGAACCAGUGAAACCCUGGACCGCCGACGUGGAGCGUGUGAACUUAACCACUUGGCCACGGGGCCGGCCCAGCUCCUGGUAUUCUUAAGGAGAGUGUUAGAUGGUUGGCAGGCACGUGAAUGGGUAAACCGAUGUCUUGUAUGUAAAAUCAACUAGGUAAACAGGAUAAACAUUUAACACCCAAGUCUCUGAAAAGAAAAUCCCUCAACUGUAGCAUUUGCCAAUUUCCGUGGUGGAAAGACCCCCAUCAUGGCUGAUUUCAAGCUACCUCAAGAUGUCACUGAAAGAGGAGUUGGGUAGAUGUACACAACUGGCUAGCCAAGCCCAUAGGAGCCAGCUCCAGCACACCGCUGGAAAGAAUUAUAUUAAUAUAAUAUAUUAAUGGAAGGAAGAAUGCUAAGAUGCUAAUGAUAGCAUA